AAUAAAUUUUUAUGGUUUAGGUAAUUUAUUUUAAAUUUAUUUUACAUAUAAAUUUUAGUGAAUAUUUUAUUUUAAUAAUAAAAUGUUUAUUAUUAGUAGUAAUUAAUAUUAAAAAUUUAAGAAAUUAAGAUUUAGUAAUAUAAAAAUUAAAAACUAAUUUUGUGCCAGCAGUUGCGGUUAAACAAAAUUUAAAAUAAAUUUUUUUAGUUGUUAAUUUAUAAAAAAAAUAAAAUUAAUUAAAAAUUUAAAUUAUUAGGUGAAAUUUUAAUUUAAUAAAAAAUUAAAUUUUUAUUUAUGAUAAUUAAUAAAUUUUAAAAAAAACUAGGAUUAGAUACCCUAUUAUGAAAAAUUUAAAUUUAAAAUACUAAAAUAGUAAUUAAUUUUUUAUUGAAACUUAAAUAAAUUGGCGGUAUUUUAGUUCAUUUAGAGGAAUCUGUUUAAUAAUUGAUAUUCCACGAAUAAAUUUACUUAAUUUAAUAAUUUGUAUAUCGUUGUUAAAAAAAUAUUUUAAAAUAAUAAUAAUAUUUAAAAAUUUAAAUUUAAAAUUAAAUCAGAUCAAGAUGCAGUUUAUAAUUAAGAAUAUAAUGGAUUACAAUAAAUUUAUUUAAAUGAAUAUGAAUUUGUAAAAAUUUAUUAAAGGUGGAUUUAAAAGUAAUUUUAUUUAAUUUUUUAAAAUGAUUAAAAAUUAAAAUAUGUACAUAUUGCCCGUCACUUUCAUAUAUAAGUUGGAAUAAGUCGUAACAAAGUAGAGGUACUGGAAAGUGUUUCUAGAAUGUU
rnacentral:ncRNA from 1 species